UAACCGUGGUGGGGGCAAAAGGUUUGCAAUUCUUUGUACCUUUCCCACGCUUGAUAAAAAGGUUCAUUUUCCUUUUGAGUAAAAGAAGAGAUUUGUUUUUCAAUGUA
rnacentral:snoRNA from 1 species